rnacentral:lncRNA from 1 species
CGGGCUUUCUACCAAGAGAGGAGCCUCUCCGUCGGCACCGGCCCCCAUUGCUGAUCAUGAGAAGCAUUCAUGCCAACAGUGGACGCACCGUCAUGCAAGAGAAGAGAAUCAGUUCUUUGAGAGGAGGAGAUCGUGUGGCAUAUUGGGGAGGAGAUCACGCGUGGUGGAAGAAGGUCGUCCAUGCUUUAGUUGCCGUUUGAUGUAAAUCUCGGAGAGAUCGUGCAUUGUGAUCUAUGCAACCAUAGUCAUCGAUUUUUAUGAUUAAUAACUCAACAAGGACAGUUCAUUUCUUUUUCAAUAUAAGGAGAGUUUUUUUUAACAUGCAAGCACUUAUAUAAACAUGCAUAUACUCACCCUUAUGAACGCAGACACGUACAUCUUACCUCUAUGAGCCCCUGCAAGAGACUGAAC